rnacentral:rRNA from 1 species
CGUAGGGUCCAAGCGUUAUCCGGAAUCACUGGGCGUAAAGCGUGCGUAGGUGGCGCGUUAAGUGAGAUGUUAAAUCGUGGGGCUCAACCCUGUCGGUGCAUCUCAUACUGGCGUGCUAGAGGACAGCAGAGGCAAGUGGAAUUUGUAGUGUAGCAGUGAAAAGCGUAGAUAUUACAAGGAACACCAAUGGCGAAGGCAGCUUGCUGGGCUACUCCUGACACUGAGGUACGAAAGCGUGGGGAGCGAACAGGAUUAGAUACCCUGGUAGUCCACGCCGUAAACGAUGCAUACUAGACGUAUGGGGUAUCGACCCCCUGUGCGUCGAAGCUAACGCGAUAAGUAUGCCGCCUGGGAAGUACGGCCGCAAGGCUA